UACAGAGGGGGCAAGCGUUGUUCGGAAUUACUGGGCGUAAAGGGCGCGUAGGCGGCCUUCUAAGUCAGACGUGAAAUCCCCCGGCUUAACCUGGGAACUGCGUCUGAUACUGGGAGGCUCGAGUAUGGGAGAGGGAUGUAGAAUUCCAGGUGUAGCGGUGAAAUGCGUAGAUAUCUGGAGGAAUACCGGUGGCGAAGGCGGCAUCCUGGACCAUUACUGACGCUGAAUCGCGAAAGCUAGGGGAGCAAACGGG
rnacentral:rRNA from 1 species